CAUGAGGUAUUCCAUGCAAGUCAUACUGGCUCAUGCGAAAGACGGAAAACUCGUGAGAGGCGACCACGGGAUUAGCCGGGGCGAUAAUAAUGAAAAUCGGCAACACUAUGAGGAGAUAAUAAGGUUAGGAGAUACGCUAUAGCUAUAGAGAAAGGGAGGGUUGUCAAAUUAUAUAAGGAUUUCGUUUCGCACGACUACAAUUUGUUAACAUCGGUUUCAGAAAAU